UAAACUCACACUGUGCACUUUCUCAGAAGUGUUCAGAUGCUUUUAGGGCUGAUGAGUUGUCAUUUUGUAUUUAAAUAUUGCAUUAGAGACAUUGAAAAAACGAUUUUCUCAUCUUCCUGGUGACUUUCUCAUCUUCUUUCUCAUCUACUUUCUUCUGAUCAGCAACUUGAUGACAGCGGGCUGAGGGGGCCCAGCACGUCUGUGUCAGCCAUGGGCCGCAAGAUGGAUCUGUCAGGCCUGAGCGACAACGAGGCUGAGCACGUGCUACAGGUAGUGCAGCGCGACAUGAAGUUGCGCAAGAAAGAGGAGGAACGGCUCAGCGAACUCAAGCAGGCGCUGGAUGAGGAGGGCAGUCGCUGCCUCCUGCUGUCACGCCAGCGUUGCUUCAACCAGCGCUGCUGCAUCCGCUGCUGCGCCCCCUUCAGCUUCCUGCUCAACCCCAAACGCCAGUGUCACGACUGCCUGUACAACGUGUGCAAGGCCUGCAGGCUCUACAGCAAACACGACAAAGCCUGGCUCUGCUGCGCCUGCCAGAAGAGCAGACUGUUAAAGCAACAAUCGCUGGAGUGGUUCUACGCUCAUGUCAAGGGACGCUUCAAGAGGUUUGGCAGCGCCAAAGUGCUGAAGACCAUUUACCGGAGGCAUUUGGUGGAGCACAGCGCCCUUUCCGAGCUCACAGAGGGCAGCACCUACGAGGAGAGCAUCUGCAAUGAAGGCAGCGUCUGUGGCAGCGAUGCCACCUUCUACAGACACACAGAAGAGCACAGCAUGGCCGAGACGCUGACUGUGGCCUUGCGGGUGGCCGAGGAAGCCAUAGACGAGGCUAUUUGCAACGCUGAGUUUGACAUUGCCAGUCAGGAGAAUGAGAAUGAAGCACAUUACCUGCGUGAGCACAGAGGAGAGCUCAUUGAGGAACUGGCCAAGACAAUUAUGCAAAAAAUCAUCUCUAGGAGGAAGACCUUGGCUGACAUGAGGGACGAGUACGAGCCCGACGGAGAACACGGUCUCCAUCACCGUGGUGACCAGGCCAGCAGCACCUUUAACCACCUCAAAGGCCUCUGGAGGUCACAGUCAGCGUUCUCGUUGAUGGAUGACAACCUUCCGAAAGGUCUGAUCCAAGAUGCUAAUCAGACGUUACCUGAGGAAUCAGCCGGAUCAGCUGGGACGACUUGGACAAGUGUAGAACGUUUGGAAAACUCCGGUGUGUCCUCAGUGCUGAAGAGUCCAGAUGGGAACUGGAUCGCCCUGCAGAGCACCCAGUUGUCACGACCGAGUUUGCUGGCCAAGAGGAAGAGUCUGGUCUACAGCGCUCUGGAGAGGGAGUCCGGAGCGGUGUCCGCUUACGAGGGCAUGGACUCUGACAACGAAACCAAACCUGAGCUGGACACUUCCUGGGGUGCCAUCCUGCAGGAAUUCCAUCGGAAGCUGACAGGCUCUAAAGUCAAGCGUGAAACCGACAACAGAGCCCGUUCAAAUUCUGAAGAGAAUCUUCAAAAGUCCCCAAUGGAUGUGCUAAGAAAGCAGGUGAAACAGACACCAUCAUCCCGUAGGACCACCCUCAUGGAUGUGAAGGCGGCGGAAAGCGACGCGGCAAGUGAGGUGGUGGCUGGAAAAGUGAAGAGAUCACGGAAGAAGAGAAUAAGUAAAAGGGCAACCCUUUCUGGACCUCUGCUAGAUCACAACAGGAAGGACGGCCGAUCCCGCUCUCCUUCUGAUGCCGAGACUCCUGACACUCUGACACCUGACGCCGUCACUCCGAGUCCGUUACACCAAAUGAGUGACACCGUUGAGCAUGGAACACAUCAAGUGGAAGCGGAGUUGACGUUAGAUGAGCACCAACCUGAGGGACACAUAUCAGACUCCUCGGUCAGAGAUGAAGCAAAACAUGAUGAUGAAGCACAGGAAGUAGAAAUGACCAAUAAAGAAGAGGAAGGUGAUCGUAUAGACGUGGAUGGAGACAGCGCAGAAGAAGAGGAGGAAGAGGAGGUAAAAUCCAGGUUGUACAAGCUAGUAGCACAGUCAAGACUGUCUUACUUCUCAUCCACUGAUGAUGAGCUGGACCGAGCAGGGCGAAGUGAAGAUGAUGGAGGGUGUGAUGAAAGUCGAGAAGAAGAGGAGAUCGAGGAAAAAACAGGAGGUCUCAGCCACAAAAUCUGCCAACUGGAGGAAGAAGUCCAAGCCAGCAUGUUGUCCUCCACGGAGGACGAGCUGGACAGAGUCACAGAUGAGGAGAAGAAGGGAACGGAGGAAGAGGAGGAGAAGCUGUCAGUGAAAUUGUGUAGGUUGGCCAUGGAAGUCGGCGCCACCCAAUUUUCAUCCACUGAGGAUGAGCUGGACCGGGAGGAUGUGAUUCACGAGGAGACGCUGUGGAGACUGCAGGAGGACAAGGCGGCGCAAGCGGCACAGGUACGCCACUUGGCCAGUCUGGUCAGCGCCUCUCAGUUCUCCUCCACUGAAGACGAACUGGAUCGAGUUGGUGAGGAUGAAGAGAAGAUGGAAGGACAGGAUAGUGGAAGUGAAGAACUGUCUGAGGAUGUAGAAUGUUGGGAAAGGUGGGAAUCCAUGGGAGAUGUAGAGAUUGAGAUGUUUGCUGUAAGGAAACAAGAUGAGGAACAUGCUCAAGAAAGAAGAACUGACAAUGCUCAACGUUGUCAGGACCAGCAAUCUGAUGAAAGUACAUUUGAGGACAAAGAUGAGAUGGUUUUUACAUCAGACCAGGAUGAGAGAUGGUCGGAAGAGACAGUAAUCAAACAAGAACAUCCACCAGGGGUAAAGAUGUCAGACCAAAGAGGAGACGGACAGGAGAUCCUUGCAAAAGGUGGGAAGAGUAUUGAGCCACAGUGGGAGACGGCUUCGACCAGUGGGGACGAAGACGCAGACUUUGACAGAAUCAUCAGCGGCAUGUUGAUGAUAACGCUGGAGGACAUGCAGAAGGAGUCCAAAAUAGAUCAGCAGAACAAGGAUGCAAGGACAGACAAAGAAGAAGAGACAAACGAGAAGAUGGAUGAGGACAUGACGGCCGACGAGAGGGAAUACGAUACAAAGAAACAUGAAGAAUGGAAACAAGACACAGAUCCAGACGUGAAGACAAAGAACGAUCCAAAGACAGAAGACAACACAAACGAGUGUCCAAAGACAGAGCAGGACAAGAACAUGAAUGCCGAACCACUGCAGUGGAACGAUAACAUCAAGACGGAUAGUGACAGCAACAAGAUGGCAGAGACAGACGAGAAGAACGAGGACUCAAAGACAAAUGCAGAUGUUGAGAAGGAAGAGGAUUCAAAAAUCAACAGAGGGAUCAAAGACGAUACCAAAACAACCAGCGAGGAUGUGAAGGCUGAGAAGGACAAGAACAUGGACCCAAAGACUGACAACGAGUGCAAAGGACUUGAAGACAAGGAGACGUUCAAUGAUGCAAAGACAGAGAACGAAAACAAAGAAGAACCAAAUACCGACAUGAACAAGAACAUGGAUGAAAUAUCCAACAAGGACAGGAAAGAGGACCGAAAAACCGACGAGACACUAGAUCCAAAAGAGGUCCAAGUGGACCACACAAGCCUGCUUGAAGAUGCAAACGUGGAAACUUCAAGGGAGUCUUGUGAAGCACAUGAAAAUGCUGAUCGUUCACUCAGUCCUUUCACUGACCAGGUCAACAUGUCCCCUGAGUGUCCAACAGUAGAGGACAAAAACGACAUUGAGGACGGAUUCCCGUCACCAGAGGAGAUCAGAAAUAAAUACUCAGCAGCGUCCCUAUGCAGCAUCACCACUGAGGUUCUGAAGGUGCUCAAUGCCACAGAGGAGCUACUACAGGGGGUGGAGGGCCGUGAUAACUGCCGACCUUCCACUUCUUAUUUGCCUGCCAGCUCCGACCCAAAGAAACUGGAUCAACACUUGUCCCGACUGGAAGAGAAAGUGUACGUGGCAGCGGGGUCAGUGUAUGGUGUGGAGGCGGAGCUUAGCGAACUGGAGGAGCGCGCCAGGGAUAUCUCUAGCACUACAUCUGAUAUGGAGUUGUCCUUCCUGGAGGAGCAGGUGGCGUCGGCCGCCGCUAGAGUUCAUCAUUCUGAGCAACAGAUCAGUGACAUCUCAGCCAGGAUCGCCGCCCUGAGGAGCGCAGGUCUCAACGUGGACCCGCAGUCCCGCGUCACCAAGACCAGGACAGUACCAGUCAUGCCUCUCACCCUGAGCUCAUCCAGACAGAUGAGGAGACGACUGCCUGCCCUCCCACGCCGAGAAGACAGGAAGAGCAAAUCUUGAAGGAACCUUGGAGUGCCUUGAGCGGAUUUAAACGUGCCUUCAUUUGUGCUGUUGUAGAUUCGACACCUUCACCAUUUGCUGUAAACAAGUCCAACAAGGCAUCCUUCUGGUCACCUAGCAACACUUCACCACCGUGGCUCAGACGACCAACAAUAGCCUCUGAGGCCAAAGACCAAGCACCGCAAGCCGACCGCACGCAUACAUUGAGGAUACUAUGUAGUAUUUAACAUGGCACUGUAUACACUCAGCUAUGUGCUAACAGAGGACUGGCAAAUAGCUGACGACCGGACCACCCACCACCAUCUCCGUGCCCCCCCCCCCAGCUGGGCUGGACCACAAUGGUAACACUGCACAUGAAAACACGGCAACAAGGAAGGGAUGCAUGAAAGGAGGUUGGAGGUAGCCAACAUAUAUUAUUUAAAAUAUUCUAUUAUAUUAUUUAAAAAUAUUUUUAAAAUUCUAUUUUUAUUCAAAUUUUCAUUUGUAUUUAUUUUAAUUAAACGAUUAUUUUAAAUUUAUUAUUCCUAUUGUGUAGGCCAGGUAUGUAUUUUUCCACAGAUGUUUUUGUUAUUUCCACAUUUUUGCAAUAAUAAAUAAUAUAGUCAUCGUUUAUAUGUAUUAUUUUAUGCAUGUAAAACUAUAAUUGUAAAACUAUAGCAACGUAUUUGGUUUUGACUUGCGGUGUAACUGUGUUAGCUAGCAAAGAACUACAGAGUCAACCCCUGAUUACAUCAUAAAUGGGUGACUGAGUGACUUCAGUUUGUGCCCAUGUAUUAGCAAACAGCUAACAUGGAUGUUUAGCAAUAAAAAUACAUUAGGAACACAAUUGCAAAUGUAGUGUAUUAACAACACAACAAUACGCUGAUGACAAGUUUAUUUUAUGCUAACCGUAAAAUCAGGCAGAAUUUUGGCAUACAUUUUUGACAUUAACUGUAAAACAUGCUAAGCAGGGCAUAUGCUAACUGAGGCUCCACUGUGUAAAUUCUGUAUGAUGAUUU